rnacentral:snRNA from 1 species
AUGUGUAUCUGAGUUUGCCUGAGACUGCACUGGUCAACAGAAUAAAAUAGAAAUGACUUUUGACUUUUGUGCUCUGAUCUGGCUGGCUAGGCAGGUGUCCCCUUCCUCCCUCACCACUCCAUGUGCGUCCCUCCCAAAGCUGCGUGCUUAGUCAAAGAGGCCUGCCUUCCCCUAAUAGAGAUGGACUGGUCUUCAGUGGAGGGUAUAGAGUAGCUUCACUCCCCUGCUAGAACCUCCAAACAAGCUCUCAAGUUCUGAAGCAGAACAAACUUUAAUAAUCAGGAACCUAAAGGUAAAAGUGUAGCAGAUGAAAUUUGUGUCUU